GAUGAAGAACGUAGCGAAAUGCGAUAAGUAGUGUGAAUUGCAGAAUUCAGUGAAUCAUCGAACCUUUGAACGCACAUUGCGCCCCUUGGUAUCCCGAGGGGCAUGCCUGUUCGAGCGUCAUUUCACCACUCAAGCCUGGCUUGGUGUUGGGCGACGUCCCCUUUGGGGACGCGCCUCGAAACGCUCGGCGGCGUGGCACCGGCUUUAAGCGUAGCAGAAUCUUUCGCUUUGGAAGUCGGGGCCCCGUCUGCCGGAAGACCUACUCGCAAGGUUGACCUCGGAUCAGGCAGGGAUACCCGCUGAACUUAAGCAUAUCAAUAAGCGGAGGA
rnacentral:misc_RNA from 1 species